rnacentral:rRNA from 1 species
GUGGGGAAUAUUGGACAAUGGGCGAAAGCCUGAUCCAGCCAUGCCGCGUGUGUGAAGAAGGUCUUCGGAUUGUAAAGCACUUUAAGUUGGGAGGAAGGGCAGUAAGUUAAUACCUUGCUGUUUUGACGUUACCGACAGAAUAAGCACCGGCUAACUUCGUGCCAGCAGCCACGGUAAUACGAAGGGUGCAAGCGUUAAUCGGAAUUACUGGGCGUAAAGCGCGCGUAGGUGGUUCAGCAAGUUGAAGGUGAAAUCCCCGGGCUCAACCUGGGAACUGCCUCCAAAACUACUGAGCUAGAGUACGGUAGAGGGUAGUGGAAUUUCCUGUGUAGCGGUGAAAUGCGUAGAUAUAGGAAGGAACACCAGUGGCGAAGGCGACUACCUGGACUGAUACUGACACUGAGGUGCGAAAGCGUGGGGAGCAAACAGGAUUAGAAACCCCGGUAGUCC